rnacentral:rRNA from 1 species
UACGGAGGGUGCAAGCGUUGUCCGGAUUUAUUGGGUUUAAAGGGUGCGUAGGCGGCUUUUUAAGUCAGUGGUGAAAGACAACAGCUCAACUGUUGCAGUGCCAUUGAUACUGAAGAGCUUGAGUACAGAUGAGGUAGGCGGAAUUUAUGGUGUAGCGGUGAAAUGCAUAGAUACCAUAAAGAACACCUAUUGCGAAGGCAGCUUGACUAAGCUGUAACUGAC